ACUGGUUUGUACUGGUCUGUCCCCAUUGCUUUCCCCAGGCUGCUGGGGACACUGGGCGUGGCCCUGGCUGAUGUCACCACGGCCAUCGGGGCCCUGGGGACCCUCAGUGAGCGCCUGGGACAGGCCCAGCACCGACUGCAGGGCUGUCACCCUCGUGUCCCCCCCAGGCCACCAAGGGCGGGGACAGGACCCGGCCACGCCCAGGCACAGUGUCCCUGGCCCCGCUGGUGACGCAGCUCCAGGCCCUCGGUGCCGCCAUCCUCAGAGACACUGGGGACAUCGGGGACCCCGUGGUGCCAGCGCCCCUCUGGGCACACCGGUGACAUCACUGGGGACACAGGUGGCAUCAUCAGGGAGCGGUGGCACUGUGGGGACAGAGGUGAUGUCACUGUGGUGGUGGUGAUGUCACUAUGGUGACAUUUAUGAUGUCAUUGUGACGGUGAUGACAUCACAGUGAUGGUGAUGACGUCACGGCACUAUCCCA